rnacentral:rRNA from 1 species
CCUACGGGGGGCUGCAGUCGAGAAUCUUUGUCAAUGGACGAAAGUCUGAACAAGCGACGCCGCGUGCGGGAUGAAGGCCUUCGGGUUGUAAACCGCUGUCGUAGGGGAACAAAUGUACGGGGGUACUCCCCUGUAUUUGAGUGAUCCUAGGAGGAAGGAGAGGCUAAGCUCGUGCCAGCAGCCGCGGUAAGACGAGCUCUCCAAACGUUAUUCGGUAUCACUGGGCUUAAAGAGUUCGUAGGCGGCCUAGCAGGUCAGGUGUGAAAUCCCACAGCUCAACUGUGGAAUAGCGCUUGAAACCGUUAGGCUUGAGGGAGAUAGAGGUAGGCGGAACAGAUGGUGGAGCGGUGAAAUGCGUUGAUAUCAUCUGGAACACCGGUGGCGAAAGCGGCCUACUGGGUCUUUUCUGACGCUGAGGAGCGAAAGCUAGGGUAGCGAACGGGCUUAGAUACCCCUGUAGUC